rnacentral:rRNA from 1 species
GAUGAACGCUGACAGAAUGCUUAACACAUGCAAGUCAACUUGAACUUCGGUUUGGGUGGCGGACGGGUGAGUAACGCGUAAAGAACUUGCCUCACAGCUAGGGACAACAUUUGGAAACGAAUGCUAAUACCUGAUAUUAUGAUUUUAGGGCAUCCUAGAAUUAUUGAAAGCUAUAUGCGCUGUGAGAGAGCUUUGCGUCCCAUUAGCUAGUUGGAGAGGUAACGGCUCACCAAGGCGAUGAUGGGUAGCCGGCCUGAGAGGGUGAACGGCCACAAGGGGACUGAGGCACGGCCCUUACUCCUACGGGAGGCAGCAGUGGGGAAUAUUGGACAAUGGACCAAGAGUCUGAUCCAGCAAUUCUGUGUGCACGAUGAAGUUUUUCGGAAUGUAAAGUGCUUUCAGUUGGGAAGAAAAAAAUGACGGUACCAACAGAAGAAGUGACGGCUAAAUACGUG